CUACGGGGCGCACCAGGCGAGAAAACUUUGCAAUGUGCGAAAGCACGACAAGGUUAAUCCGAGUGGUUUCUGCUAAAGGAACCUUUUGACAGUCCUAGAAACACUGUUGAAUAAGGGGUGGGCAAGUUCUGGUGUCAGCCGCCGCGGUAAAACCAGCACCUCAAGUGGUCAGGAUGAUUAUUGGGCCUAAAGCAUCCGUAGCCGGCUCUGUAAGUUUUCGGUUAAAUCUGUACGCUCAACGUACAGGCUGCCGGGAAUACUGCAGAGCUAGGGAGUGGGAGAGGUAGACGGUACUCGGUAGGAAGGGGUAAAAUCCUUUGAUCUAUUGAUGACCACCUGUGGCGAAGGCGGUCUACCAGAACACGUCCGACGGUGAGGGAUGAAAGCUGGGGGAGCAAACCGGAUUAGAUACCUAGUAGUC
rnacentral:rRNA from 1 species